CAGCAGCCGCGGUAAUACGGAGGAUCCAAGCGUUAUCCGGAAUCAUUGGGUUUAAAGGGUCCGUAGGCGGUCUUGUAAGUCAGUGGUGAAAGCCCAUCGCUCAACGGUGGAACGGCCAUUGAUACUGCAGGACUUGAAUUAUUGGGAAGUAACUAGAAUAUGUAGUGUAGCGGUGAAAUGCUUAGAGAUUACAUGGAAUACCAAUUGCGAAGGCAGGUUACUACCAAUUGAUUGACGCUGAUGGACGAAAGCGUGGGUAGCGAACAGGAUUAGAUACCCGGGUAGUCCCUGUCUCUUAUAC
rnacentral:rRNA from 1 species